rnacentral:rRNA from 1 species
AUUGAACGCUGGCGGCAGGCCUAACACAUGCAAGUCGAGCGGAUGAAGGGAGCUUGCUCCUGGAUUCAGCGGCGGACGGGUGAGUAAUGCCUAGGAAUCUGCCUGGUAGUGGGGGAUAACGUCCGGAAACGGGCGCUAAUACCGCAUACGUCCUGAGGGAGAAAGUGGGGGAUCUUCGGACCUCACGCUAUCAGAUGAGCCUAGGUCGGAUUAGCUAGUUGGUGGGGUAAAGGCCUAUCAAGGCGACGAUCCGUAACUGGUCUGAGAGGAUGAUCAGUCACACUGGAAGUGAAACGCCGUCCAGACUCCUAUGGGAGGCCGCAGUGAGGAAUAUUGGACCAUGGGCGAAAGCCUGAUCCAGUCCUGCCGCGUGUGUAAAGAAAAUCUUCGGAUUGGAAAGCUGUUUAAGUUGGGGGGAAGGGCAGUAAGUUAAUACCUUGCUGUUUUGACGUUACCAACAGAAUAAGCACCGGCUAACUUCGUG